rnacentral:rRNA from 1 species
GAUGAACGCUGGCGGCGUGCUUAACACAUGCAAGUCGAGCGAUGAAGUUUCCUUCGGGAAACGGAUUAGCGGCGGACGGGUGAGUAACACGUGGGUAACCUGCCUCAUAGAGUGGAAUAGCCUUCCGAAAGGAAGAUUAAUACCGCAUAAUGUUGAAAGAUGGCAUCAUCAUUUAACCAAAGGAGCAAUCCGCUAUGAGAUGGACCCCGCGGCGCAUUAGCUAGUUGGUGGGUAACGGCCUACCAAGGCGACGAUGCGUAGCCGACCUGAGAGGGUGAUCGGCCACAUUGGGACUGAGACACGGCCCAGACUCCUACGGGAGGCUG